rnacentral:lncRNA from 1 species
CUUGUUUGUAAAUCAACACGAGUUGUAAAAGUUUUGUGUAUUCGACGAUGGAGUUUAAAAUAUCAUGUUAAAAGUUUGGAAAAGUAUAUUUGCAGUGCUAUUUUUGAAUUUGGAGUAAUGUUCGGAUAUUUAAGUGAAUAUUCCAUAAGGGAUUUAUUAUGAUUUUGGAGUUAUGUUGGUUUUUGCACGGUUUUUGACGGCUGUGUUGAUUGCACAUCAAAUUAUCCUCAUUGAAGGUAAUGUCCUAAUGAUAAAAAUACCCAUGCAUCGAAAUACUUUAAUGAUGAAUACUUCAAACAAUUGUAUGCUUGUCUUUUUCUAUUUUAAAGAAUUCAUGGAGUUCUAAAUGAAUAAAUGUUGUAUUGCUACUAAUGGUUUAAUUUGUUAUACAUGAUAUACGAGAAAAAAUAACUGUUGAAAUUAAAUAUAUAUAUCAUGUUUUGAAACAUAGGCAAUACACAUUUCGUUGCGCGUGCCUUCUUUGUUUUCAUGCAAGAUGAUGUCAUAGGACAAAUGUAUUGAUGCACUUGUGAUUAUAUUAUAAACAAGUUUUGUUUGUUUAAAAUAUUACUGAAUGAGAUUUCAGUUUCUUGUUGAGAUUAUAAAAUAGCAUAUUAAAUUCAUUUAAUAGUUAAAAUAAACAGUUCAAACCUUUAAAGUAUAUUUUGAUUUCAGUUUUAGUAGAGGUUUAAAAUUACAUUAAGUUAACAGUAUUCUUUUUUCAAAAGGUUGGAGCUACAUAUAUUUGAACAGGUUGGGACCAAACACCCAAAUGGGUCGCAUUUGGGAUAUAAAUUUACAAAAAAACAUAUGAUAUAGAAUAAACACUGACUAAUUUCCUGACUUGUGAGAGGUACAUGAAUAUAUGACAGUGUUAAUGUAUUUUUUUUUAUAUCUCAAACCCCCAUAUCCCCAUUCUUUCUUUAACAAUUGAACAAUAGAAUAGAAUAGAAGGACAUAAAGGUGUACCGAUUAACACCAAAAAUUCAUGUACAUUGUAGGAAAAACAUUAAACUCUAGAAUAAUGUGGAAUAGAAAACAAAAAACGGCACAAAAACAAUAGACCAGAUAAUUAUACUGUAUCAAAGAUCAGUCAGUGGUACUUGACCUGCUGAUUUGAAAUUAUGAAUCGAGGGUAAACUUCAAUAUCAGUCAUUGUAUCAGUUGCUGUACUUCUUAGUAGAUUUUGUACAGCAAUGUCAUUAAAGUACAGGAUCUUGAAGACACAAUCUGUACAAUUCUAACAACAUUUAAUUGCAGAAAAAAAGAAAAAAAUAUGUUUUGCUUCAUAUUAUUAAUGACUACAUGUAUUUGAUGGUUUUCCCAAAAAUAUCAUGCAGUGAUUAUACCAGUACCCACCGAAGAAUUAAUACAAUGAAUGAAAAAUAAUCUGCUUGUUUCUGGUUUGAAUUUUGAAAAAACAACAAUCAUCAUUAAAAAAAUUACCUUAAAAUAAAAAAGACCUUGUAUAUGUUCCAGACCAUACAAGAUUUGACCGUACGCGUACGGUCCGGACCGUAUACGUAUACUCGUACGGUCCGACCAACGCGUACGGUCGGACCGUAGAGUAUACGCUACGUCCAGCUGACCAACAAUGUUGGGAUCAUAUGGGUUAAAUGUUUACUUAACAAACAUUUAUCAAAAUCUUUAUUUUUAGUUAUACAAAUUGUUAUUAUUACAAUUAGAUGGAUAAAGUGAAUAAGCGAACAAUUAAAAUUAAAUAUUUGUUUAAUUUUAUAUCCGUGAAUCCUAUUUUGUUACUCUGGCCCAAGAUGACACUUGCUUUGACAAGGAACGUCAUAUAUUUUUAACAUUAACAUGUUUUGUUCAUGCAUGUUCCUUUGCAUAUGCAUUUUUUGUAAAGUUCCUAAAUAUUCUAAAACAAUUGUCCUCCCACAUUAUGUUUACUUCCGAUAACUUCAAUUUCAAUGAACAUACUGGGCUGUAGUUAAUGAAUUACUGACAUGCUAAGUACAGGAGAUUAAUAGAUUAAAUAAGCCUGAUUUUUUACAAAUAGUUAACAUAUUAAGUUUUUAUUUCAAUAACUAUUCAACUUUUUAUAUUAAUUUGAGAUAUAAGUUAUGUUGAUCUGUUAUAUACAUUUAUCUAAUAAACUUGACCAAAUUCUUAAUAUUAGUCAGACCGUACGCGGCAGACCGUAUGCGUAUAUUGAAAAAGUACGCAUACGGUCCAGACCGUACGCGUACGGUCCAAAUACUCAUACGGUCUGGAACAUAUACAUACAUCUUUGUGGUACUUGUAUUAGAAUUUUGUUUCGCAACAUUUUGUAGUUUAAAAUAUACCAGCACACAUUUUUAAAAACCCACAUAUGUCAUUUAUGUUUUAAAGUUAUGAAAAAUUUCCCUCAAAAUGUUCAUUAAUUUUUGACAAAAAUAUAAUAUUUUGUUUUGUAAAGUUAAUUUCUUGCCAUGAAGUUACAGCACAUGUUUAUCAUCUUAAAUACUUUCUGUGUACUGAAGUGCUUAAAUAUAAUUGUAAUCUGGUGUUUAUUUUCAUAAAGUCAGAAUAUAUUCCAAGUUUAAAAGAAAUUAGAAAAUCUACUAUAUUUAUUAACAAUAAUUUGGAAUAGCAACAUUCAUGAAUAAAAAAAAUGCAUGAUAAUUUUUGUGUCAAUUUGGUCUCUGUGGAGAGUUGUCUGACAUUGGCAAUCAUACCACAUCUUCUUUUUUAUAUGAACUAUGAAUGUUUUAUUUUGCAGCAUUUCCUUCAUGCUAUCCUGAUCCUUGUUUGAAUGGAGCUACUUGUAAAACAGCAAGUAAUGGAGAAAGUUACUGUGUGUGAGUACAAAAUA